CCCGAUGAACCUGAAUAUCCGUUAUGGAAAAUUCAUCACUAAUAUUAUAAUAUUUAUUAUAUUAUAAAAAUAGUGUGCAAUUUUUCCAUAUAAGGACAUUGUAAUCUGUUAAUGUUUUAAAUAUUUAUCAAAAGAUCUAAUGCUUAAGUUCGCUUAAAUUAGUGAUUUUCGGAUUUCUGACAUUAAGUGAGUGUAUUAGAUUUGAUAAAUCGUUGACAGAUUUAAUUAUAUAUAGUGCUUAAAUUUUUCGGAAUUUUACAAUUUUAAAUUAAUCUAGUGAUUAUUUUAUUAUUGUAUGCGCUUAUAUGAUUAACAAUGCGAUAGAUUCAGGAUACCUUCGGGACCCGUCUUGAAACACGGACCAAGGAGUCUAACAUAUGUGCAAGUCAUUGGGUAUUUUUAAUAAAACCCAAUGGCGUAAUUAACUUAACUGUUAAAAUGGGAUUAGUAUAUAUUUUUUUAUAAAAUAUAUAUUCAAUCCCGGGGCGUUCUAUAUAGUUAUGCAUAAUAAUAUUUAUAUUAUUUAUGCCUCUAACUAGAGC
rnacentral:rRNA from 1 species